AAGUUAUACUGAGGACACCUCCUCAUUAAAUCCUUGAACCGGUUCCAUGCUGCACACAUUGAUUCACCCUGUGACUGAGUAAAAUUGGUGAUACCAUUCAUCAUCU